AAGCAGUGGGAGCACCUUCGGGUGUGACUGCGUACCUUUUGUAUAAUGGGUCAGCGACUUAUAUUCUGUAGCAAGGUUAACCGUAUAGGGGAGCCGCAGGGAAACCGAGUCUUAACUGGGCGUUAAGUUGCAGGGUAUAGACCCGAAACCCGGUGAUCUAGCCAUGGGCAGGUUGAAGGUUGGGUAACACUAACUGGAGGACCGAACCGACUAAUGUUGAAAAAUUAGCGGAUGACUUGUGGCUGGGGGUGAAAGGCCAAUCAAACCGGGAGAUAGCUGGUUCUCCCCGAAAGCUAUUUAGGUAGCGCCUCGUGAAUUCAUCUUCGGGGGUAGAGCACUGUUUCGGCUAGGGGUCAUCCCGACUUACCAACCCGAUGCAAACUACGAAUACCGAAGAAUGUUAUCACGGGAGACACACGGCGGGUGCUAACGUCCGUCGUGAAGAGGGAAACAACCCAGACCGCCAGCUAAGGUCCCAAAGUCAUGGUUAAGUGGGAAACGAUGUGGGAAGGCACAGACAGCCAGGAUGUUGGCUUAGAAGCAGCCAUCAUUUAAAGAAAGCGUAAUAGCUCACUGGUCGAGUCGGCCUGCGCGGAAGAUGUAACGGGGCUAAACCAUGCACCGAAGCUGCGGCAGC
rnacentral:rRNA from 1 species